ensembl:lncRNA
UUUUUUUUUUUUUUUUUUUUAGGCGGGGGGACAAAAAGCUUGCCCUUCCUCAUCUGAAACAAAUAUCUUUUGCAAAUAUGCUCUUAAGACUGAAACCUUGACUGGCAGUGGCCUGCCUUCUUCUUCUGUUAGACAUUUGUGGCAGAGGGGAGGUGCUAAGAGUUAUGACAAGUAUUUUAUGCAGCUUGGGUAAUGCUGGAAGCCCUCCCACAUCAGCUCCAUUUAGUGUUCCACACGGCAUUUGCCAGCAGGAAAUAUUUGGGUGCAUAUUCCAAGCAUUGCCUAGCAAAAGGUAUCUGAAAUUACAAGGGCAUAGAGGGGCCACGGGUGCCAAGAGACACUGCCAGUAUAGGUAGCACGAGUGUCACCUGAGCAGAAGAGCUCUGGAGAUUUGGCCUUCCAUAACUGGGGAAGAGGUGCAGUGGCAUGGGCCCCCAAGGCUACUCCCACUUUUGGGGCUGGCCAGAGUGGAUGAUAAUUUUCUCUCUGGGACAGAUUCUGUAUUAAGCAGAAGCAAAAACACCUGUAACUGUAACUCCUUGGGGUUUCAGAAAAGUCAGUCUGCAGAGUGUGUGUCUGUCUUGUCUAAAUUAUCUUUGACUCAAGUAUUACUCUUGUAAUAAAGAUGGUCUUUGGGGUUUUUUUUUUCCCCAUUCUGCACUUUCUGCGCAUGGUAAGGAGAUCAUAAAUUUAGUUUUGUUCUGUUUUUAAGUGUACAAGAGAUGUUGAGCUUAUCUAACAGAAACAAGCCAGGUGUGUGCUACAGUGUGUAAAUGCCACCAGGAGCACUUUGUCCUUGUCCUAGACCAGAAAAAGGAAAAACAGUUUGGGUGCUGUAAUGCUACUGACUCCAGGUCACCUGGAGGUAUUUUGAAUUAUGAUGAAACUGUAAUUGCUCUGCCAUUUUUCUUCUCUCUCUCUGCUUCUUAUUUACUCCACAGUGGAGAGAAAAUGAGUCAGAGUAGGCUAGGGAUAGUUCUCCUGACACUUUGGAUGCUGCAUUUGCACCCUCACUUGUUCAGCAAAAAAGCCAGCUUGAGGAUCUCCCAAAUUGCAUUUCAUACCCUGUGUUGGCUCUGGCUAAGAUGGAGUCAGCUUUUUCCAGAGUGGCCCAUACGGUGCUGUUUGUGACUAGAACAGCGCUGGCAGCACACCAGUGUUUUAGCCAUCACUGAACUGUGGUUGCACAGCAUCAAGUUACUCACUCUGCCCUCUCCUCCAGCAAACAGGCUGGGAGUCACAAGAGGCUGAGAGGGGAAGCAGCCAGCACAGCUGACCCAGGUGAUAAAAGGGACAUGCUGGACUCAUAGCAUCACACUCAGCAAUAAAACCAGGCUGCGGGCAGGAGGUUUCUUCCAAAGAAGCUGUUGCUUGGAGACUGGCUAGGGAUGGGUCUCUUAGUGGGAUGUGGUGAAUGGUUGACUUCGCAUCACUUAUUUAUGUUCUUUUUAUUCACUGCAAGACUUUUGUGUCAACCCAUAGGUAUUCUCCCCAUGGCUUCACCCUGCUGAUUCUCUUCCUCAUCCUGCAGGAAGGAGUGAGUAACCAAGUGGCAGUGGGGGCUUCAUUGCUGCCUAGGAUCAACCCACCACUCUCCUUUCCCAGCUCACUCUCUGGUAUAAGCAGCUUCUUGUGGAACACAAUUGGUCCUGUAAUUAGUGAGCAUUUUGCCCCAGGGAGGACUGAAGUGCAUGAGAGAGGAAGAUGGUUGUGGGGAAUUGUAAUUUUUCUUCUUCCCCCCCCCCACCAUUCCCCCUCCCUGCGUGUUCCCCUUUGUCCUGGGACUCUGCAUUCCUACCCCUCACCCUCGCCACGCGGUCGGCUCCCUCCAACCCCUCCCAGCCUUUCCCAUCGCUGCCCCCAUCUCUGGGGUCUCUGGGGCUUCCCCACCCCUGUCCUAUCCUCAUUGGCCGCGGUUCCUGUUCUCCCCCCACUCCCCCAAUUCGGGGAUUAUAUCCGAUACCCCACGAGUGCCCCCGGUGUCUCGGGAACACGCACCCACAAUAAACACGUGUUUGCACCUGAGCCCCGUGUCGCCUCCGUCUGUCCCCAUGCUGAAGCUGAACUUGCAGAGCUUAAGGGGAGAGCGGCGCCCGCCUCUCCCCUCUCCUCCCGCGCUCCGCCAGCACCUGCUCGGGGCCGGUCCUGCACGGCAACAAAUGGUAGCAGAGGAAGGCUCUUUCCAUUGACUUGUGAAAGGGGGAGAGAGAAAGGGAAUUCUGCCGCCGUAAGAGCUCUGCCCCACGCUAAGAGGAGCUGAUUCGCCGGUCAGAAAACAAAACCGAAGCUCCGGGACCCUCUUCUGUCCUCGCCGGCAUGCUCUCUAACCCGCCUGGGAGCAGCCGCGCUGUGGGGGCAGUGCUGCGGGGGCCUUGACACAGGUAGACUUACCUCAGGACAGAAGAGGGGGGUUUGGCAGCGGCUCGCAGUGGAGCCCGAGCCCGAGAACGGCGCAUCAUGGGACCGCACAUGCAUAGAGACUACUAGAGGCUGACAGUGGCCGAAACCAGGGUUUCAGGAAUGAGCCCUGGUUAACGGGAACACCCAGGCUUCUAGAAGAGCCAAACCGUGAAAGAAAAUGUCCUCAGUUCCGCGCGAUUUUCCACCACCGAGGAGAGAGAGAGAUUUCACCACCCGAGCCCGAAGGGUAAGUGGUUCGGAGCAGGGUUGGGUCCCUGGUGUGCAGCUGAGCUACCUUUUUUUCUUUUCUGAGUUUUAACCACCGUCCGUGCCCAGAUGGGGACUGUAGCCUUGCAUGUCCCUGGCGGCCGGGAGGCUUUUUCUUUUCCGAGGAGGACGCAGCCUCGCUUGGUCUUUUUUGGGGUAACUCAUACUGGAAAGCUCCUUCUCUUUCUCGGAAAGCUGCCCUUUCUACCCUCUCCUCCCUAUUCUGGGCUAUGGGGGCGGGGGGGUUGAAAGGACACCAAUGGGACAGAAUUGUAGAUGGCGACACGUCAGCUAUGGGAGAGUUGUUAAUAUCUUAAGGGAGGCCCUUCACAUCCACGCAUUUCGUCGACUUCCAGCCGCGUUGGGCCCCUCUCCUGUAGAUCUCCCCUUUGGCUUCUGCGAAGCUCCCCAUUUCCUUUUCCCCAUGGACUUUCCCAAAACCUCUCCCUUGGGGAUGGCAGCAGCCGAGCCACCCCAAGCGCCCUGCCGGACACUGUUAUCCUCCCUUAGGAGUGGCAUUGGCCGUGCCUCCCUGGGUGAGGCACAGUGCACCCGGCACCCCCUCCCAAGAUGGCGCUGGCCACGCUACUUGGAACCCAUUUUCCCGCCGUAACCCUUCUCUUCUGCCCAAGUCUGUAAAGACGUUAGAGUGCUCCAGGACGGUUUGGGUGGAUACAGACGAGAGAUCUCUGCUGAUUGCUCUUGGAGGAUAAGGUUUAUUCGGGAUGGAGAGAGGUCCUGCCUCGAGCUGCUAGACACAGCACGUGGCCGGGCCUGAGGUGAUGGGGGAGGGGAGAGACAAAGGGAAGAGCAGGGACUCGAGGAGGGGGAAAUCCAGGAGGAGGGAGGAAGUUCCAAGAGGGGAGGGGAAAUUCCAAGAGGGCAUCUGGCCCCUCGGAGGCCCCUUAUCAGGGGGGCUUCAAGGUGGGCUGGAACAAGACUUGGGCCAAUGGGGUUACAGGCACUUGAUGUUUCAGGGGAGGGUUACAGGUGUGGGAUGAACCAUAGAUUCUGGGGGGUGAGAUGGAACAGUCCAUUUGGCCUUUGGACCCCGCUGUAGGUACGGUUAUUGUCCAGCCAGUAGGGGGCAUGAUAUUCAUCCUGGCUGUACUAUUGUGGUUCUUCUGCUAGACAACCAUAUUUAUCUAUCCUUCCCAACACCUGGCACCCCCUCCCAAGAUGGCACUGGCCACGCUACUUGGAACCCAUUUUCCCGCCGUGACCCUUCCCUUCCGUCCAGGUUUUCCCGCCAGCCCCACCCCUCCCACAACGGUCCUGCACCAUCCUGCAGCGAGGCCAGCCCCUACUGGGGGGGAGGUGAGGUUAGAUUAAUCCCCCAGUCCAUCUUCUGGCCCCUCCUCUGAUGGGAGGGAUUGAUGGAGGGGUCCCUCCGUUAGAGGACCUUCCUUUGUAAGAGAGCUUUCCCCUUUGGUGUGUGUGGGGGGGCCCUUCGAAGGGAGCAGAGCUGGAAACCCUGGACCAGGACUCCACUAUUUUCUUUCCCCUGAAACGGUGGCGCCCAGGUUCACCUCUCUAUGCCAUCUCCUAAAUGUACCUUGCCCAAAGUUCCCUUGUUAUUUCAAUACAAGUUUUCCCCAUUGCUUGUGAUAAUUUGGAAAUAACUUCCUGGACUGAGUUAUAUCUUAUAGAAGGAAAGAUCAUCCUCCCUAAUUGCUGCCCACAAUGCUAUGCCAACUUCGCAAUCAAAUAAGCAAAUUGGAGAAAUCAUGUCGCCGUUCGCUGUUUCAGCUCUGCUAGAAUUUGAAAACCACAAGCAUUGUGUCAUGAAUCCUGCUUCCAUCCUCAAUACAGAAUGUUUAUAAUAAUUUUGUACCCUUUAUCUUAAAUUGUAAUAUGAAAAAGAUUUUUGCCCCAUGCAUUGUAACUAUGAUUGGUGUAUCACUUUCUGAUGUCUCUCAACUUACGUUUCUCAGUAAUUUGUAACGUUGCUAAUUUGCUUUUACCUCAGAACUCCCUCUUCUUUAUGUAAAGCCAAAGAGGGAGAUGUGGGGAAUUGUAAUUUUUCUUCUUCCCCCCGCAUUCCUCUUUGUCCUUCAAUCCUACAUUCCUGCUCCUCCCCCUCGCCACUCGGUCAGCUCCCUCCAACCCCUCCCCACCUUUCCCAUCGCUGCCCCCAUCUCUGGGGUCUCUGGGCUUCCCCACCCCUGUCCUAUCCUCAUUGGCCGCGGUUCCUGUUUCCCCCCACUCCCCAGUUCGGGGAUUAUAUCCGAUACCCCUCGAGUGCCCCCGGUGUCUCGGGAACACACACCCACAAUAAACACGUGUU